rnacentral:rRNA from 4 species
GCCCUUUCGCUAGAGCUCUAGUUGCAUCUCGGACUCAUGAUGCCCAAACUUGGUGGGCGGAAUAUUGGCGAACGGGUGAGUAAUACGUGAGUAACCUGCCCUUGACUCUGGGAUAAGCCUGGGAAACUGGGUCUAAUACUGGAUACUACCUCUUACCGCAUGGUGGGUGGUGGAAAGGGUUUUACUGGUUUUGGAUGGGCUCACGGCCUAUCAGCUUGUUGGUGGGGUAAUGGCUCACCAAGGCGACGACGGGUAGCCGGCCUGAGAGGGUGACCGGCCACACUGGGACUGAGACACGGCCCAGACUCCUACGGGAGGCAGCAGUGGGGAAUAUUGCACAAUGGGCGGAAGCCUGAUGCAGCGACGCCGCGUGAGGGAUGACGGCCUUCGGGUUGUAAACCUCUUUCAGUAGGGAAGAAGCGAGAGUGACGGUACCUGCAGAAGAAGCGCCGGCUAACUACGUGCCAGCAGCCGCGGUAAUACGUAGGGCGCAAGCGUUGUCCGGAAUUAUUGGGCGUAAAGAGCUCGUAGGCGGUUUGUCGCGUCUGCUGUGAAAGCCCGGGGCUCAACCCCGGGUCUGCAGUGGGUACGGGCAGACUAGAGUGCAGUAGGGGAGACUGGAAUUCCUGGUGUAGCGGUGAAAUGCGCAGAUAUCAGGAGGAACACCGAUGGCGAAGGCAGGUCUCUGGGCUGUUACUGACGCUGAGGAGCGAAAGCAUGGGGAGCGAACAGGAUUAGAUACCCUGGUAGUCCAUGCCGUAAACGUUGGGCACUAGGUGUGGGGGACAUUCCACGUUUUCCGCGCCGUAGCUAACGCAUUAAGUGCCCCGCCUGGGGAGUACGGCCGCAAGGCUAAAACUCAAAGGAAUUGACGGGGGCCCGCACAAGCGGCGGAGCAUGCGGAUUAAUUCGAUGCAACGCGAAGAACCUUACCAAGGCUUGACAUUCACCGGACCGCCCCAGAGAUGGGGUUUCCCUUCGGGGCUGGUGGACAGGUGGUGCAUGGUUGUCGUCAGCUCGUGUCGUGAGAUGUUGGGUUAAGUCCCGCAACGAGCGCAACCCUCGUUCUAUGUUGCCAGCACGUGAUGGUGGGGACUCAUAGGAGACUGCCGGGGUCAACUCGGAGGAAGGUGGGGAUGACGUCAAAUCAUCAUGCCCCUUAUGUCUUGGGCUUCACGCAUGCUACAAUGGCCGGUACAAAGGGUUGCGAUACUGUGAGGUGGAGCUAAUCCCAAAAAGCCGGUCUCAGUUCGGAUUGAGGUCUGCAACUCGACCUCAUGAAGUCGGAGUCGCUAGUAAUCGCAGAUCAGCAACGCUGCGGUGAAUACGUUCCCGGGCCUUGUACACACCGCCCGUCAAGUCACGAAAGUUGGUAACACUCGAAGCCGGUGGCCUAACCCCUUGUGGGAGGGAGCCGU